rnacentral:rRNA from 1 species
GAUGAACGCGGGCGGCGCGCCUAACACAUGCAAGUCGAAUGAUUAAAGCACCUUCGGGUGUGUAUAAAGUGGCGAACGGCUGAGUAACACGUGGGCAACCUGCCCCUCUCAUUGGGAUAGCCACGGGAAACCGUGGAUAAUACCGAAUACUUCGAGUCUCCCGCAUGGAAGACUCGAGAAAGCUCCGGCGGAGAGGGAUGGGCCCGCGGCCUGUUAGCUUGUUGGUGGGGUAACGGCCUACCAAGGCAAUGAUGGGUAGCUGGGUUGAGAGACCGACCAGCCAGAUUGGGACUGAGACACGGCCCAGACUCCUACGGGAGGCAGCAGUGGGGAAUCUUGCACAAUGGGCGAAAGCCUGAUGCAGCGACGCCGCGUGCGGGAUGAAGGCCUUCGGGUUGUAAACCGCUUUCAGCAGGGACGAGGCGAAAGUGACGGUACCUGCAGAAGAAGCCCCGGCUAACUACGUGCCAGCAGCCGCGGUAAUACGUAGGGGGCAAGCGUUAUCCGGAUUCAUUGGGCGUAAAGCGCUCGUAGGCGGUCUGUUAGGUCGGGAGUUAAAUCCGGGGGCUCAACCCCCGUUCGCUCCCGAUACCGGCAGACUUGAGUUUGGUAGGGGAAGGUGGAAUUCCUAGUGUAGCGGUGGAAUGCGCAGAUAUUAGGAAGAACACCAGUGGCGAAGGCGGCCUUCUGGGCCAUAACUGACGCUGAGGAGCGAAAGCUAGGGGAGCAAACAGG